GUAAAGUUCUCCUCGUGAGAUGAUGCUUGGGGAGCCAAAAACAAACUGGAAAGAACUAGGUAAAACAAGUUUAGUGGCUCUGCCCACCCUGAGGACAGAGCCACUUACACCGCAGAACCACCAGGGGCCUCGGGCACUUGUGGGGAUUCGGGAGCUGGGUCUUCAACAGGGUGUUCUCACGCUCUAGCUGGGAGUUCUUCUCCACCAGCUCUCGGAUCUGCUCCUUCAGGAUCUCCACCUCCUCUCUCACAGCAUACAUCAGAUGAUUCUUCACCAGAUCCUGCCAAUGAGGGAAUCAUAACAAAGCCAUUCCUUAGCCAUCGUGGCCCCUCUGCAGCACCUUUGCUCUGUCAUUGGUGUGCCUGUGCUGUCCUUAAUGCCAGGGCCCUCCAGCCUUCCCUCAGUGAACUGGUCUGGCAAGUCCAAUUCCUCGUUCACCUUUCUCUGAAGCACUUAAACCCUCAUUCAGGAGAGCUACAUGAUUUGGCUUAUGCUGGAGUUGAGAGCCCAGCUUUGAACUAGAUAGGUUCUCCCCUGCAAGUUUCUAAUGACUUUCAAAGCUGGCUGCUGAGGGGCCUUUGGGGUGACACUUCUGCUGUUUGCCAGUGGUUUGCUAUGUCCCCCUUUUUACAUAAGCCCCUACUGCUGCCGAUCCAGAUCUGGGGGAAGGGUAGACCUGCAAUGCAUCCCAUACUGUUUGUCUGCUGUACAAAUCUUAACCAAGAGAAUAAAAUUGGCUAUUUUAGAGUCUCCUCCCCUCCAUAUGACCCAGCACAUUGAAUUGCAGCUGUCCUGCAGCCGGCCAGUUAGCACACAGGACAUUGGCCUUGGGGAAAGGUACAGAACUGCCGCAUCCUCUCUGAAUUUGAUGACUGCACUGGGGGCAGGGAAGGUGUCCUUAAGCUCCAGGGCACAAUUAAGUGGCUCCCAACCGCUGAAGCCCUAACCCUCUGCAGCCAUUGUGGCUGCUCCUUGGAGUAUGACCUCUACCUGGUAAGGAGAGGGACAGGGGUGGGGUGCUUCGCUUCCUGUUUCCACCCAACUCCUGACCCCAGUCCAGGCUCUGCAGAGGCACUGCAGUGCUGUUGCAUCCAAUGAGCUCAGCCCCUUGCCAGCUGCACGAUGCACACAAAUGCAAGAGUCUGAGCUCCCUGCCCAACAACAGGCCCAGGAGAGAGUCAGAGCCUGCGGCAAAGACCUGAGAUGGAGGAGGGAGGAAGAAAGGAGGGAGCCCAGGAAGGGAAGACUGGAAAUGCCCUAAAAGGUGCCACUCUAAUCAGACUCCACCUCCAGUGCGGAUAGGAGGCAGGCUGUCGGCUUCCUCAGGGUUUUGGCUAAGGGCUUUUUCACCCAUUCCCUCAAUCCUGC
rnacentral:lncRNA from 1 species